UGCUGCUGCUGCUGCAGAUCCUCCAUCCCCACAGUGGAGUUGCUCCCGGGACCGGGAGGAGACGCAAUUCCUAUCCCCCAGCUGCAAACUUCUUCCACAAACAUUAUUUUAUCCUUUGAGAUUUAUCUGUAACUCCCGCAGGGGGAGCUGCAAUAAAUUAUCUGGCCUCGCCCUUCUCCUCACCUGCUCUCACCUCACGUUGGUAUUUCUGGGGUCUGAGCUGUGCUGAGCCUCGAGGGCUCGUGUCAUCUGCAUGUCUCAGAAUAACUUAUGUCUCUCCCUCUGUACUUACGGCCAAACCCUGCCCGGGAAGGACAAAAGAGGAUGGAACGAGAUUUAUCCCUCGGCAUUGUAGGUAUCUGCCCCUAAGCUGUAAAAUAAAAGCUGAAUAAGAAUCUUGAUAACCAUUUCCUUGGGCAAUAUCAAAUAGAGGCCUAGCUAUCGCUGCAGGAAAACUUCUGGAAACUCUGAGUAGGCAGAACACCGCACUGCUUUUGGAGGAACGUUCCUGGAGUGAGGGACUGGAGAAAUCAAAGCAGUUCAUCGAGAAGAGUAAGCAAAGGGAACGCUUGCUGUGGAUGGCACUGCUGUUUUGCACACCCUAAGGCUUGAAGGCUCAAGCUGCACGAGGGCAGGCAGGAGCUGCUCUCUUCUCACUGACCGUUUGCCACGACAUGAGAAUGAACAUCGUGCAACCAGCGACCUACAGCUACAGCUCUGUUCUCCGCAGCAUCCCCACCUUGAGCAGUGGCAGUGGCACAGCAAAGCCGGGCAAACCAAGAGGGGCAGGGACCAGCUGCAGGGAGGUGCAGGGAGGCAGCACGGAAGUUCACCCACCUUCAGCUUUCAUCCUGUUGCCAGAGCUGGCAGCUGUUAUCCUGGUUGCCAAUCUUCCUGUCCAGCUGUACAUCCUCCAGCCUGAAAACAUCUUCUUCAGCCUCUCAAGCUCACCGCUCGCACUGGCUAGCGUGUAUGGGCGGAUGGGAGAUUGGGCUGUCAGGCUGUCAACUUCCAUGAGCCCAAGCUCCUCGGUGAAAGGGAGAUGGCCAUUUUCCCAACAACGUCUCCAGCUUCCUUCUUUACAGCCAGUCAAGUCCAAUGACAUCAAAUAUUAAUCUGGCACACAACUUGGGCUGUCCAAAUGCAUUUUAUAACCAACAGCAUAUCAAAUCCUUGGGACCUGAUGACAAUCACUCCUUUGUUGUCACAUCCUUCAGUCACUUUAACCCAAAUUCUCAGCCAAUUCAAAGGAAAGAAUGGUGCUUCAGAGGACUGAUUACAGCAAAAGAGCUUCAAAACAUGAAAGGAGGGAAGGCAGAGCUGCAACUCAUCACAAAAGAUCCUACCAUAAAAUCUAGAGAAUGAACAAGAAGCCUUAGAUGAUCUCACAGCAAGAGGCUCUGUUGUUAUUUUGAGCAGAGGCAGAAUUUCUCUGCAGGGGCAGAAUUUGGAGCAUCCUGGCUCUGGUAUUUGGGCUUGCAGCUCAGAGUUCUCUGUACAAGACUACAGCCAGUGAGAGAAAAUUAAAAAUUGACCAUAAAUUAUUCAAAGGAAGCCAAGAAAUAAAAGAUAGGCUAAAGAAGAAUUCUUUUGAAUAACUUGAACCAAAAUCCUAAGCACAUUAGCUGGAAGAUUCAGAGAAAUAGCAUGAAGGAAAUUUGUUUAUAGUCUUGGAAGAAAAUGUGUGAACUCAGUUUAGUAAUAUACCUGGCACAGCUGAAGAAAGAGGAAGUAUCUACACCGUACUGGCACCACUACUGACCUUAUCAUAUGUGGAAUAGAUGGCACAGGAUCAGGAGAACAGAAACAGAUCCAUAGUCUCUUGGUGGAGAUGAUUUUGCAGGGCUGUGAUCCAAGCCAGAAGGCUGAGCAGGAGUCCACUUUCCAUGCACAAGCUACCACCGCAGAAAUGAUGUGCAAAAUGGCUCUUUUACUCUUCACUCAAGGCUUUUAAGGACAUUUGCAGACCUUGUACGCAGUGGGAAAGAGGCAGAGGAGGAGAGUGACUGGGCAGCCCUCCCUUCUUUCCAAGUGGAAGCGGCCUAGCAGGCUGUUUUUAUCUCCAGGACUCUUCCUGAAGGAUGUGCUGAAUUAAUGCCCCAAGCAGGAGUGCAGCUGAAGGCUCACCGUGCCCUACAGAGAAGUGACAACACAGCUGCGGGUGGCAGGAUCCCUCCCUUGGUCUUUGUGCCCUUCAGUGGUGGACGAAGGCUCCAGCGAGGUGUUUGCAGCCUACAGAGGCCAUGAGCCCGGUGCCUCUGCCUGUUGGUUCACCAAGCGAAGGCAACAGAGUCAAAGUAGCAGAAGGCCUGUGCACGAUGGGGCUGUGAUACUGGCCUGGGUGAGCAGCUAGCACUAAUUUGAGCAGCCCAAAGGUCACGACUAUUUAUGCAGAUAAAAGGUCAGUGGCAAGCUGGCAGGUGGCUGUGGGCUAUCUUGGUACGCGCUGCGCCCCGGGCGCUGAUGUCUGCGUCUGGUUCACAGUUAGUUUGUCUUUCCACAUGGACUUUCAGGCCAGGUUCUGGCUGAAAUAAAACACAACGGGGAAAGAAAUCUCUGGUCGUGUGAGUUGAUGCUGUUGGGAGACAGCUGCAGUUUUUGUGGCUUGGGCUCAUCUGUAGCUAAAUCAAACCUUUGAAUCAUUAUUUAUAAAAGACAGCCAAAUUCUGAACCGUUUGCUCAGUGUUUAGUCAGCUCUUACAUGGACAAACUCCUGUGAAAGCGUGCGUGAUGGCAGAUAAGGGAAAAACUGAAUCAGGUGCCCUGUUGAGAGGCAGCAUGUCUGGCCAGGAACUCCAGCAGCAGUGGGCGUCUGCACUGCAGGUGCCUGGGAAGAAGUCACCUCAGAGGGGCAGGACCUUACAGCACGGCCUGAAUUGCCAGAGCAGGUUCAGGUUAGCUGAAACAACAUCUAGGUGGGCGAAAAAGGGAAGCAAGUACACUAUGUUUAGUCCAGUCAGAUUCUAUGCUAUGUUUGAAACUUUUAUAGUCAGUCAGUACCAGUGCCGCAUCCUUUGCUCUCAUUAGAAAGCAAAAAUGUUUUCAACCUUUGGUUCCAGGAGUUGUCUGUCUGCCUAUACCAAUUUUAAACAAAAUCCUUUAAUGUUCUCCUGUAAUUUGGUCCAAUACAGCCUGGUCUCCAAGACAAAAUAUGCAAAAUAUUUUGUGACAUUUCAUUCCCCAAACAAAAGGUAAUGGGAAAACAUCAUUAUAUUGAUUUGUUUUUCAUCACAGAGGUAUUUGGCAGCAUGCCCUAAUUAAGGUUGUAGCAAUAAUUUUAUUAUAAGCACUGCUUUGCCUCCCCUGGUAAUUUUUUAAUAGGAGUUAGCUAUUAGUCUGUUAUUUUGGUUUGCUAAUAAAGAAAAAAAUAUGUUACAAUGGAAACCUCCCAUGUAGAAAGCAACCAAAGCUAGUUGUCUUCAGACCUGGAAAAGCAUUUCUUUUUUUCUGUCUUCCCAUUGGAAUGGAUGACCACUAAAUUCUUCCCUGACUGCUGUCUUCCUAGGCCUGCCCCCACACCCAGGGAAGUUUAAGCAGUGACUUGAGCACCACCUGCUAGGAUGUGUUUUGUCAAGACUGAUAUCUCUAUUAUACCCUUUCUUCACUUCAUAUUUGGCGGACUUGGCUAUAGGCAAACUGAAAUGAAUCUGCAGCAGUGGCAUAGUCUGAUAGGUGAAACAGACUAAUUUGUAUGUGUUUUCCCACUGAAAAUGGCAAAAUUCCAGCCACUGAACGUUCACGAGUAUUCUGCUCAUUGUGUUCAUCAAGCCAAAGAGUCUCCACAGGACAUUAGGGUUUGACCCGAUGUCCGCAGACACGCUGCACACAACCCAAGUGUGAUGGCACACUGGGUGGCCAUGCAGGACUUCCCUUCGAUGGAGCCUUCUGGCCCACCAGUGGGAGUGCAGGUGACUCCUGCAGACUUUCUCUCAAAUCUCUUUGGAGGAAAUUAAAAUAAGCCUUUGCAGAAACUGGAGAAAUCGGAAUGCACCCAGCCAUUUUCUGGAUUUAAUGCUACCUCUUGUGUUAUUGUCUUCAGUCUCUGAAAAACAGAACUGUCCAGUAGAUAAUGACUGUUAGAUUACUAAUUAGCACAUUUCUGUUAUCUUGGAGCAAAUACAUUUUUUAUGCUUUCCCUCCUAUUAAAGUAUUUCAGAAAACAAAACAGAAAAAGC
ensembl:lncRNA